rnacentral:rRNA from 1 species
GUGCCAGCAGCCGCGGUAAGACGAGGGGUCCUAGCGUUGUUCGGAAUCACUGGGCGUAAAGCGUAUGUAGGCGGGCUUUUAAGUCAGGUGUGAAAUCCCACGGCUCAACCGUGGAAUUGCAUUUGAAACUGGAAGUCUUGAGUGUGGGAGAGAUUGGUAGAAUACCUGGUGUAGUGGUGAAAUACGUAGAUAUCAGGUGGAAUACCGGUGGCGAAGGCGGCCAAUUGGCCCAACACUGACGCUGAGAUACGAAAGCGUGGGGAUCAAACAGGAUUAGAUACCCGCGUAGUCC